rnacentral:rRNA from 1 species
AGUGAACGCUGGCGGCAGGCCUAAUACAUGCAAGUCGAACGGCAGCACAGUGGAGCUUGCUCCAUGGGUGGCGAGUGGCGGACGGGUGAGGAAUACAUGGGAAUCUGCCCAGUCGUGGGGGAUAACGUAGGGAAACUUACGCUAAUACCGCAUGCGCCCUUCGGGGGAAAGCCGGGGACCUUCGGGCCUGGCGCGAUUGGAUGAGCCCAUGUUCGAUUAGCUAGUUGGCGGGGUAAAGGCCCACCAAGGCGACGAUCGAUAGCUGGUCUGAGAGGAUGAUCAGCCACACUGGGACUGAGACACGGCCCAGACUCCUACGGGAGGUAGCAGUAGGGAAUAUUGGACAAAGGGCGCAAGCAUGAUCCAGCCAUGCCGCGUGAGUGAAGAAGGCCCUCGGGUUGUAAAGCUCUUUUGUCCGGGAAGAAAAGCAUCGGGCUAAUACCUCGGUGUUCUGACGGUACCGGAAGAAUAAGCACCGGCUAACUUCGUG